rnacentral:rRNA from 1 species
CCUAGGGGUGGCAGCAGUGGGGAAUAUUGGACAAUGGGCGAAAGCCUGAUCCAGCCAUGCCGCGUGUGUGAAGAAGGCCUUCGGGUUGUAAAGCACUUUCAGUGGGGAAGAAAGCCUUGGGGCUAAUACCCUCGAGGAAGGACAUCACCCACAGAAGAAGCACCGGCUAACUCCGUGCCAGCAGCCGCGGUAAUACGGAGGGUGCGAGCGUUAAUCGGAAUUACUGGGCGUAAAGCGCGCGUAGGCGGUCUGAUAAGCCGGUUGUGAAAGCCCCGGGCUCAACCUGGGAACGGCAUCCGGAACUGUCAGGCUAGAGUGCAGGAGAGGAAGGUAGAAUUCCCGGUGUAGCGGUGAAAUGCGUAGAGAUCGGGAGGAAUACCAGUGGCGAAGGCGGCCUUCUGGACUGACACUGACGCUGAGGUGCGAAAGCGUGGGUAGCAAACAGGAUUAGAUACCCUAGUAUC